GCGACCGGCGCACGGGUGAGUAACGCGUAUGCAACUUACCUACAACAGGAGGAUAAUCUGGGGAAACCUGGUCUAAUAUUCCAUAGCAUUACGAGAUCGCAUGAUUUUGUAAUUAAAGCUAUUUGUGGUUGUAGAUAGGCAUGCGUGUCAUUAGGUANNNGGUGAKGUAACGGCUCACCAAGCCGACGAUGACUA
rnacentral:rRNA from 1 species